AAUCAACGCUGGCGGCAUGCCUAACACAUGCAAGUCGAGCGAGAAAGGGUAGCAAUACCUGAGUAAAGCGGCGCACGGGUGAGUAACACGUGGAUAACCUGCCUCAAAGUGGGGAAUAACACCGGGAAACCGGUGCUAAUACCGCAUAUUCUGACGAGAUCUGUGGAUUUUGCCAGGAAAGGAGCAAUUCGCUAUGAGAGGGGUCCGCGGCUGAUUAGCUAGUUGGNGAGGUACGGCUCACCAGGCCACGAUCAGUAGCCGGUCUGAGGAGGACGGUCGGCCACAC
rnacentral:rRNA from 1 species